AGCUGCUCACAUCUCUCUCUCGUUUUCAUCUUCUUCACAGUUACACUAGCCUCCGUCUCGUUUUCUUCUUCCUCUUUACAUUUCUCUUCUUCUUCUUACAGAGUUACAGCACAACCACCACCUCCGUCACACACGAGCAACCAAACCCUUCUUCUACUUUUUCUUCUUCAUCACAAUCAUAACAUUCACAUAUGAAUCAACAUGAAUAGUUGAUAAACAGAUAUAUGUGAAGGAUUCCGCUCAAAAAAGAAGUUUUAUUCUCCAAUUUUGAUUUUAUUCAUAUAGUGAGAAGAAGUAUUGACCACAGCAAGUAUGCAACUGCACUGGUGGGUUUCGUAUUUCACAUUUAGAGAAGAUGAAAAACAGUGGGAGAAUAACAGUGAUGUGCUACUACUGUAAAUGGGGUUCUAUGUUGUGAUUAUACAGCUUGACAUCACUUUUCAAUGGAAGUUCAUAAUUGCUCAUUGGGAACAGAAUGUUUUGGUAAGGUCAGCAAGUUAGCCGAAGAAAGGUCUACGGGCCAUUGUGAGGAGGAAAUGCAGGAGGAUAUUCCACUUCUGUACAAGAAGUUGUGCGCAUGCUUAAUCAGACAAGACUUGGUGUCAAUUUGCGAAGAAGACGAAAACAGAGAUUUUUGCGGGGGGGAUCAGUCUGAGAGAAAACAUGUAGAAUCAGAUGGCAGAAGACUGGUAAGUGGAUAUACGUGGAUGGAUGAGGAUGAGGCUAAACACGCAUCAAACACCAAAACACUGCAGAGGGAGGAAGAGGCCAAUGUUAUAACAUUAGCUGGCCUCAAAAUCUUUCCCAAGAUAGUAGAACAAGGUGGAGAGACCAUUGUUGGCGACCUUGAAGUCCAUGCAAACGGGUUCUACUAUGCAGCCUCCGGUCCCAAUUUCUGUUUUUCUUUCUUGUAUACAGAUGUAAAGACAGAUUUAUUUCGAGUUGGAGAACGAGAAGAUGCCUCCUCUCUUGCACUUCCAUUUUCAUGAAGGCAUCAAGGUGGGGACAGAAAAGAGACAGAAUAUCCAAUUUCGUUUGGUGCAGACCCCUGUGGGACAGAAGAGAUCUUAUACUGAUUCAAAUAAGAUUAAUGAAGACUUAAAGAACUUUGUCCACAAUGUUCGAGAAAAAUGGAGAGGUAUACCUGCAUUACAUUGUAAACCGUUUGUUGAUGCUGAGGUUCGUAAGGUGUAUGAGUUUCAAGGAAAUCGUCCCAACAAGGCACCAACCGUCUUUGGCUUGACUCUUUUUACGCUAGUUGGGCUUGUGGAUGAACCUUUUAUUGUGGUCGACCUAUACGAGAUAGAGGUUGUUCAUCUGAGGCUUAAAUGCGAGUUGUCUAAACCUGUGGAAAUAGAUAUGACUAUUGUUUUUCAGGACUUCCAGCGUGAUCCAGUUCAAAUCAACUCGAUUCCCAUUGACAAGCUCUAUCUCAUAAAAAACAGCUGUAACUCUGCUGGCGUGAAGUAUGAUGAGAAUUAGGAUAUCGACCGCGGUUCCAUAUUGCAAGAUCGCUGACCGGAGGAUUUUUUGAGAAAGCCGUGAUUAUGAACUACUACAACGCAGGAUGAGUAAGGCAGGAGAAGGUCGAGUUUUGGCAAAGCAGUCACUGGAACCACAAAAUUAUCUUACCAAGCAAUCGUAUGUUGCUUUUGAAUGAGCCGGUGUAUUCUUUCGUCGUUCUGAUCUUUUUUUCUCAGGAGGAUCUGGCUUAUGCCUCUGCUUUUUUCUCAAUCAAUAAACUAGAUAGUAACCCGUGCUGUGCACCAGGUUAAAAAAUCUUGUUUGCGCUUGAAUUUUUAGGAUGUUAUUUUUAGGACAAUAAGCACAGAAUAGUCGGACUUUAUUUAUUUACUAGUUCUUCACCCGUGCGGUGCACGGGUCUA